AUACGUAUGUCGCAAGCGUUAUCCGGAAUUAUUGGGCGUAAAGCGAGUCUAGGCGGCUUGUUAAGUCAGAUGUGAAAAUGCGGGGCUCAACUCCGUAUUGCGUUUGAGACUGGCAGGCUAGAGUACUGGAGAGGUGGGCGGAACUACAAGUGUAGAGGUGAAAUUCGUAGAUAUUUGUAGGAAUGCCGAUAGUGAAGACAGCUCACUGGACAGAUACUGACGCUAAAGCUCGAAAGCGUGGGGAGCGAACAGGAUUAGAUACCCCGGUAGUCC
rnacentral:rRNA from 1 species